UUUAAACAGAGAUCAUAACAAUUAUGGUAUAUCUUUGAAUUCCAUUGGAUCUCAAGUUGUGGCAUGUUCCAUAGGGUAUGUCAACAGAGGGCCAAACACAGAGCCACUGUCAGAAAAUCCAUCCGACAUCAGUCAAUAUUUAGCCAAUCCAAGAUGUCCCUUUUCAACUGGAUGCGAUUUGUGUACAGGUUUGCACAAGGCCUACGAUUAAGACAAAUCGACAUGAUGACAGAUGACAUUGCUGCAAGCACAACUACACUGUCAAAGAUGGCAAAAAAAGCUGCGAGAUGUCUGAGUUGAGUCAAUGGAGAGAAGAAAAAGAAGAAAAGGACAGAGGCUGGGAGGGCAGAACGAGUUUGUGGUUAUCGAUGAAAGCCACUUCAGACACAAAAGAAAGUACGGACGUGGAAGAAUGGCUGGUGGGUGGAAAAGGAAGAAGUGGAUGUUUGGGAUGCUUGGCGUGAAGCACAGAGGACAGAGGACCAUGCCUGUUCUCCGCCUGGUGGAAAGACGGAC